rnacentral:sRNA from 1 species
GACUGGCCGCAUUAGCGGUAGUAACGGCAUCCUUUUUACAAAAUUAAUAAAGUCAGUAUGAAAUGUAGAGGUAUAACUGUGUCCUAAACGGAUUUUAUAAACUUACCUAUUAUAUAGUAAAAAGAUAUAGUGGAUGACGCGACCCACC